rnacentral:lncRNA from 1 species
UUGUGUCUGCAUGCUUGAAGCAUCCAGCUCACCUGCCUGCAAAAAAAUUGAUCCAAUGGGUGGGAGUUCCCAUUGUGGUUCAUGGGUUAAGAACCCGACUAGUCUCCAUGAGGAGGGGGGUUUGAUCCCUGACCUCACUCAAUGGGUUAAGGAUCAGGCGUUGGUGCAAGCUGUGGUGUAGGUGCCAGAUGCAGCUGGAAUCCCAAGUGGCUGUGGCUGUGGCCAGCAGCUGCAACUCCAAUUCUAUUCCUAGCGAGGGAAAUUCCAUAUGCCACAGGUAUGGCCCUAAAAAGAAAAAAAUAUAAAUAGACAGGUGGGCAUGGGGGAGGGGGCCACGGCUGCCACCGCAGGUAUUUGGUGGGCCCCGUUCUCCACUCGGCACUGCCUCCCUAUGUUUGUGAAUCGAAUUUAAACUCUCUUUAUGACUGGGAUAAAGAUGGGCUCUUCUCUUCCAAAGACGACCUAUCUGAAGAGUUAGGAUGUCUACAGAUGCGAGCCUUAGCUUUGUGUUAGACAGUUACCUAGUCAUCGCGUGUAUGUACGUGGAACAUUCGGAGCAGCCACAUCUUAAGUACACUUAAGGAGCUCAUCAGAGGAAGUCUUUGGUGAUUCCUUGGUAAAGUGCAUCGUUUCUUUGAAUUUUUCUGUCGCUCGGAUUUUUCUGCUUUAGGUUGGCUUAGAAUAGAGGGUUCCACAGUUUAGGACCAAAAUGGGCUUGGCCUGGGUAAAGUUCAGAGUAACCAGAAAGAUCUUUGGCAUCUUCAUAUUUUUCUUUCGAGAUCCAUUUAGCAUGGUGAGGUGUGGACACCCUUUCUUCUGGUCUUUAAAGUUGCUUAGGUCAUAUAUCUUCUUUAUAAAUGAAACGCCCUUGUCAGAAUGUUUUUUUGUGUUUUAUUUUAUAUUUUUAAAAUUUAAUUUUCUUGGAGUAUAGUUGAUUUACAAUGUUGAAUUAGUUUCAGGUGUACAGCCAAGUGAGUCAGUCAUACAUAUAAAUACAUCCAUUCUUUUUUCCCAUAUAAGUUAUUACAAACUAUUGAGUAGAGUUUCCUCUGCAGUAGAUUCUCAUGAAUCACCUUUUUUACACCGUAGUGUGUAAGUGUUAUUCCCACCAUUCCAAUUCUUCCCUCCCUCAACGGUUUCGCCUAUGGUAACCAUAAGAUGGGUCUUGAAAUCUGUGGGUUUGUUUCUAUUUUUUAAAUAAGUUCUUCUGUAUCAUUUUAGUAGAUUUCACAAUUAAGUGAAACCGUAUGAUAUUUUUCAACUAUGAUUGACUGACUUCACUCAGUACGAUCAUCUCUAGGUCCAUCUAUGCUGUUGUGAAUAGUAUUCAUUCUUUUUUAAGGCUGAGUAAUAUUCCAUUGAAUAUAUGUACCACAUCUUCUUUAUCCAUUGCUCUGUCGAUGGACAUUUAGGUUGCUUCCAUGUCUUGGCUAUCGUAAACAGUGCUGCAACGAACUUUUUUUUUUUUUUUUUUUUGGUAUUUUAUUUUAGAAGCUGCUGCAACAGAAAGAUUCCUAAGAAAUCAAAAGUUUCCGUAAUCACCUUGAACACGUGUUGGCCCCUUCUCCUUUGAGAUCCUCAACUUUUUGGCAUCUCUCAUAAGACCCCUGUGGGUAUUCAGAGUAUUUAGUCCACAGCUUCACAGGAAGAGGUGACAGGAAGUAACCAAAGGAAGCUGUGGGGCUACUGGACAGUGGCGGGAUAAAUCCACUGCCUUUCAGCUCCAGUUUUGCUUCCAUAUGGAACUCCCAGGGCUCUCCUAGUUUAAAGAACCAGGGGCAUCCUUUCUCAGGUCUUUCCUGGACUCCGAUUGAUUUCAGUAUAACUCCAGUCUUGGCAACAUAGACUUGGAAGCCAAGUGUAGACUCUAUAUUCUUUGAUCCUUAAGGAAACUGGAACAAAUCUAGUUGUUUAU